UUUCUCCGUUGUAGCUGGAACAAGGAAGACGUGUCCUUGUUUGUCGCGUGUCCUAGCUUGAUUUACGUGUUCGCCACCACAGCCUAGUUUAGGCAUAGCAGCCCUUCUUGUUUGUUUUCGCUGUCCUGUUUGUGUUACCUAUUUUGACCCUUCGCAAAAUCACAAAUUUUAAUUAAUUUAUAUAAUUAAAAGAUGAGGAAUUAUGUACAUUAUUUACAUUUGACUGAUAUUUGUACUCAUCUAGUUUGUUGUUAACACGUUUUGACUGAUAUACCCUUCAACCUUCAUCAAGUGUCUUGGGGAAAUUUCAAACCUACGUUCUCAUUUCUAAGGUUUAAGACGUGUAAUAAAAUACAAAAGAAGAAAGGUGGAGGCGCAGGAGUGGCUGUGUGAUUCAACAUGAAUUCUACAGUCUUUCUCAUCAUCUUCGGAAUAUUCAUGAUGUUUGCUUUGACAAUAGGCAUUGAAAAUAAAUGUCGAAGAAGAUGCAUGAGAGAAAAUCUGGGAACUGGAAAUUCGAAAGGGCGCCUCGCUUAUUUGCAAUGUUAUUUUGAUAAUUGUUCAACAUACAAAGUUCACUGAAGAAAAUCAAUAACCAAUAUGCGAUAUUAUAAUCAAUAAUUUUAAAGACAACAUUUAUAUAGAGAACAGAGAAAAGCGAAGAAAUUAUCUCUCGUAAAAACGAAGAAAUUAUCUCUCGUAAAAGCGAAGAAAUUAUCUCUCGUAUAUGAGAUGGGUUUCUAUAUAAAAUUCUGUAUAAAAUUCAUGGUUGUCAUAUUAAAAUAUACCUCGUAAUAUGAAAUAA